UUCACAUGCAUUCCCCGGGUCACCAAUUCCACGUCAGGAUUAAGGCACUUGAUUUGUUGCACGGCGUUCUCAAAAGCGUACUCAGUGCCCUCUACAAAGUCAUGGGACAGCUGAGCAAUCACCUUGACCAAGUCUGCUCGGGUGGUCAAGCCCUCGGCAGCCUUGUGCUCGUUCUCGCCCGGCGCCAUAGCAGCAGUAAGCCUUUCAAUCUCAGCCCGAGCAGCCUCCAACUCCUCUCCCCUUUUACGGUGCUCAUCCAGCUGGUCACCCCAGCGUUUUUGCUUCUCCUUGAGGUCAUCCACAACAAUUUUAAGCUGGU
rnacentral:lncRNA from 1 species